GACGAACGCUGGCGGCGUGCCUAACACAUGCAAGUCGAGCGAUGAAGCCCUUCGGGGUGGAUUAGCGGCGGACGGGUGAGUAACACGUGGGUAACCUGCCUCAAAGAGGGGGAUAGCCUCCCGAAAGGGAGAUUAAUACCGCAUAACAUUAGUUUUUUGCAUGAAAAACUACUUAAAGGAGUAAUCCGCUUUGAGAUGGACCCGCGGCGCAUUAGCUAGUUGGUGAGGUAACGGCUCACCAAGGCGACGAUGCGUAGCCGACCUGAGAGGGUGAUCGGCCACAUUGGAACUGAGACACGGUCCAGACUCCUACGGGAGGCAGCAGUGGGGAAUAUUGCACAAUGGGCGAAAGCCUGAUGCAGCAACGCCGCGUGAGUGAUGAAGGCCUUCGGGUUGUAAAGCUCUGUCUUUGGGGACGAUAAUGACGGUACCCAAGGAGGAAGCCACGGCUAACUACGUGCCAGCAGCCGCAGUAAGAC
rnacentral:rRNA from 1 species